CACCCGUGCCCGUAUAUGAGAAACCUCUUCCUCCACCCGUGCCCGUAUAUGUGAAACCUCUUCCUCCACCCGUACCGGUAUAUGAGAAGCCUCUUCCUCCACCAGUGCCAAUAUACCAUAAACCACUUCCUCCACCUGUGCCAGUAUACCAUAAACCUCUUCCCCCACCAGUGCCAGUGUAUCAUAAGCCUCUUCCUCCACCUGUGCCAGUGUAUCAUAAACCUCUUCCUCCACCUGUGCCAGUAUAUCACAAACCUCUUCCUCCGCCAGUGCCAGUGUAUCACAAACCUCUUCCUCCACCAGUGCCAGUGUAUCAUAAACCACUUCCUCCACCAGUGCCAGUAUAUCACAAACCUCUUCCUCCACCAGUGCCAAUAUAUCAUAAACCUCUUCCUCCACCAGUACCAAUAUACCAUAAACCUCUUCCUCCACCAGUACCAAUAUACCAUAAACCACUUCCUCCACCAGUGCCAAUAUACCACAAACCUCUUCCUCCACCGGUGCCAAUAUACCACAAACCUCUUCCUCCACCAGUGCCAGUAUAUCAUAAACCUCUUCCUCCACCUGUGCCAGUAUAUCACAACCCUCUUCCUCCACCAGUGCCAAUAUACCAUAAACCACUUCCUCCACCAGUGCCAGUAUAUCACAAACCUCUUCCUCCACCUGUGCCAGUAUAUCACAACCCUCUUCCUCCGCCAGUGCCAGUUUACCAUAAACCACUUCCUCCACCAGUACCAAUAUAUGAGAAGC
rnacentral:lncRNA from 1 species